rnacentral:rRNA from 1 species
GAUCUGGCUCAGGAUGAACGCUAGCUACAGGCUUAACACAUGCAAGUCGAGGGGCAGCAUGGUCUUAGCUUGCUAAGGCUGAUGGCGACCGGCGCACGGGUGAGUAACACGUAUCCAACCUGCCGUCUACUCUUGGCCAGCCUUCUGAAAGGAAGAUUAAAUCCAGGAUGGGAUCAUGAGUUCACAUGUCCGCAUGAUUAAAGGUAUUUUCCGGUAGACGAUGGGGA